rnacentral:tRNA from 1 species
AGAAAUUUAGGUUAAACAGACCAAAAACCUUCAAAGUUUUAAGUAAGAGUGAAAACCUCCUAAUUUCUG